GAUGAACGCUGGCGGCGUGCUUAACACAUGCAAGUCGAACGAAGCACUUUAUUUGAUUUCCUUCGGGACUGAUUAUUUUGUGACUGAGUGGCGGACGGGUGAGUAACGCGUGGGUAACCUGCCUUGUACAGGGGGAUAACAGUUGGAAACGGCUGCUAAUACCGCAUAAGCGCACGGCAUCGCAUGAUGCAGUGUGAAAAACUCCGGUGGUAUAAGAUGGACCCGCGUUGGAUUAGCUAGUUGGUGAGGUAACGGCCCACCAAGGCGACGAUCCAUAGCCGACCUGAGAGGGUGACCGGCCACAUUGGGACUGAGACACGGCCCAAACUCCUACGGGAGGCAGCAGUGGGGAAUAUUGGACAAUGGGCGAAAGCCUGAUGCAGCGACGCCGCGUGAGCGAAGAAGUAUUUCGGUAUGUAAAGCUCUAUCAGCAGGGAAGAUAAUGACGGUACCUGACUAAGAAGCACCGGCUAAAUACGUG
rnacentral:rRNA from 1 species